UAGAGGGCUGUUGAUCUUUGAAGACGGAUUCACAUGUCUGCUUUCUGUCGCCCGAUGUGUGCGACUCUUGUUCCAUUGCAAUCACUGCCCGUUCUGCGGCAAUAGAAGCUGUUACUAGCUCGCCACAAAUCAGCGCAAGAGCAUUUACAAAACAGCGCUCCAAGUGACUUUGUGAGGUACUACACAUUUUAAAUUGAUGUUUAAAUUGUAACGAAUAAUCUGCAUCAUUUUACAUAGUAGUUUGAUUGCAACGAAAAUCAGCAUAAUUUAAAUAAUAAUAAAGAUGAACGACACACGGAGUGGAAGAAAGGAAAAAUGUCAGCAGAUACAAGUAUUUGUUCGUGUUAGACCUAUCAGCAAUUUUGAGGAAAACAAUAAAUCUACAUCCAUAUUAGAAGUUCCAAAUAAUAGGGAAAUAAUAAUACAUGAACGUCCAAAUGACAAAGUUUCUAAAAAAUUUAAGUUUAAUAAUGUAUUUGGACCUUUGUCAAAACAGAUCGAUGUAUAUAAUGUCGUUGUUAGUCCAUUAUUGGAACAAGUAUUGGCUGGAUAUAAUUGUACAGUAUUUGCAUAUGGUCAAACUGGUACAGGGAAGACAUACACAAUGGAAGGAAUUAACAAUGAUCGAACAUUAUAUUGGCACAGUGACUCGUCUGCUGGCAUGAUACCACGUUCUUUAAGUCACUUAUUUGACAAAUUGCAACUACUGGAAACUCAGGAAUAUACAAUUAGAGUUAGUUUUCUUGAACUCUAUAAUGAAGACAUAUUUGAUCUUUUAUCAUCUAGUAAUGAUGCAUGUAAAUUGAGGCUAUAUGAAGAUGCAUCAAAGAAAGGUGCAGUAAUCAUACAUGGAUUAGAAGAAGUAACAAUACACAAUGCAAGUGAAGUUUAUAAAAUUAUUAAGAAAGGGUCUGACAGAAGGCAAACAGCUGCAACAUUGAUGAAUACUCAGUCUAGAUGCCGGUCCCAUACUAUAUUCUCAAUUACUAUACAUAUGAAAGAAAGUACUGGUAAUACAGAUGGUGAAGAGAUUCUGAAAAUGGGGAAAUUAAAUUUAGUGGAUCUGGCUGGUAGCGAAAAUAUUGGAAGAUCUGGCUCUGUUGAUAGGAGAGCAAGAGAAGCUGGUAAUAUUAACCAGUCUUUAUUAACUCUUGGCAGAGUUAUAACAGCUCUUGUUGAAAAAGCACCUCAUAUACCUUACCGGGAAUCUAAACUUACAAGAUUACUGCAGGAAUCAUUAGGUGGUCGGACAAAAACGUCAAUUAUCGCAACAGUAUCCCCUGCUAGCAUUAACCUUGAGGAAACAUUAUCAACGCUAGAUUAUGCACAUCGUGCAAAAAAUAUCACAAAUCGUCCAGAAAUAAACCAGAAACUUUCGAAACGAGAAUUUUUGAAACAAUAUACAGAAGAAAUUGAAAAGCUGCGAAGAGAUUUAUUAGCUUCACGUGAUAGAAACGGUGUUUAUCUUGCAGAUGAUAAUUAUAGAGAAAUGGAAACACUAAUUUCACGACAGACUAAGGAAAUAGAAGAAAAAAUUAAUCAUAUAAAAGCGCUUGAGAAAAUUAUGCAAGACAAGGAGAGAAUAUUUAAUGAACUUGAAUUGCAAAAUAUUGCCCAGACAAAAGAAUUAGAUGAAGUUAAGACUAAAUUAAAUAAUUUCUCUGAAGCUCUACAGUCGUCAAAUUAUCGAUUAAAAUUAACAACGCAGGAACGAGAUGAGCAUAAAUAUUUAGUAGAGAGAUAUAUGAAUACAGAACAAUCUUUAUUGAAUCAGGCUCAGACUUUGCUAAAUGUUGCAGAUACAGCAAUAACAGAUUCAUAUAAAUUACACGACAAAAUUGACAGGAAAAGUAAAACAGAACAAAAAUUUGAAGACCUUGGUAGAACCGUGAAAAGUAAUGUUUGUGAAUGUUUGCAAAAUAUAGAAAAAAAUAUAUCUACAUAUGGUGAAAGAUUAAAGACACUUUUUCCAGCAAUGAAAAAUGACAUCGAAACCUCUACCAAAUGUAACGGUAUUGACACGAUAGUACAUCGAAACGCGAUGAGCAAUUCGAAUCAAUCAGAUACUACUAAUUUAACAAAAAAUAUAAAUGAAUUUCAUUUAGAGUAUCAGAAUUGGAUACAAAAUGAAGUAAGAAAUGUGGUUGGUACAGUGGAAUCUGAAGAUGAAUUAAUGAGUGUCAUUUCUCUGCAAUUGGUUGAAAGCAUCAACAGUAUGAUAGAAAAUGAAAUAGCUAAAAACCUGGAAAUCAUAAGGAAUAAUGUAUCUGAAAAAUUAAAACAAACUUCGACUCUUUUAAAAGAAAUGAUAGAUGCUUCUUGUAAUUAUGAAUUAGAGAUUAAUGAUCGUAUGAGCCAAAGUAUCAAAAGUAUUAUGGAAGCUGUUGAAGUACUUCGUAAAAAACAGGAAUUUAGUGAAAAACAACAGUUAUUUACUAAAAUGAUGGGAAAUCUAUUUUCACAGUCAAACGAAUUACAUAAAAGUCAAGGAAAGCAUUAUUCUGCUACAAUUGACAAAUGUGAUUAUAUUAGCAAAAUUUGUAAUGAAGCUAAUGUUCAAGCAACAAAUAGUUCUAAUAUAAAUGUUAAAAUGAGAAAUGAUUUAAAAGAUUAUAUACAAAGGGAUAUAGAGAAAAUUGAAAAUAACGUUAUUGUUACAACAAGACAGAAUGAAGAAAUUGCAAAUGAGAUUACAAAGCGAGGAAAGGAUUUAAUAAACGAAUUGAAGUCAAAUAUAAAUGAAAGUUGUAAUAUGUCGAAGCAGUAUACAAAUGAUAUGGAAUGUAAUAUUAAGGAAGAGCAACUGAAAAUGGAUUCAGAUAAGAAUAUAUCCCUUUCAUUAAUCAAUGAUGCACAUGAAGUAAUUUCAGAUAUAAGUAAAAACCAUGCAAGAUUCGUGAAAGAUAUAAAGGAAAAUACUGGAUAUGUGUCUCAAAACGUAUCUGCCCAAUUAGAAAACCAAAUAAGGGAAUCAAGUAUGCGGAAUGAUAAUAUUAUUGAACAGUUACAAAUAACAGUUAGUGAAAUUAACAAAUUUUUUGAUGAAGAUUUGCAACGUGAUGUCGCAACAGGAUUAACUCCAGCAAGGAAAAACUUUUCCUAUCCUCGUCAAUUUAAGGUAACGUCUCCACAUGAACAAAUUCUUAAAAAGUUUAGAGAAAGCAGAAAAUUUCUUGAAACAACAGAUGAUGAUUCUAUACAAGAUGACACAAUCACCAAUAGUGAAAUAAUGAAGGGCAUUGCAAAUUCAACUGCAUUAUCUGACAUUACACUUGUAUCUUCUGCAAUUGAUAAUAUAACAUUUGAUACCUCUAUUUCAAGUAGUAAAUUUAUGGAUUCUCAUACUGAAAAUAUUACACAAAUGUUAGAUGUAUCUCCAAAGUUGAUACAAUCCCAUACUCAAUCUGAAUCUGCAAUAUACAGAAAGAAUGAAAACAAGGAAAAUAAUAACUAAUAUACAACAAUCAGAACACAAAGUGAAACAAAAAGUGAAGCUGAUAGAAAUAUUUACAGUAUAGAAUCUUCUCCACUUAUUUUUAUACAAUCUGUCCAAUUAACAUUAUGUUACAUGUGUGCAUGUUAGUUUAGAAAACAUAUAUUACAUGUCUCAAUUUAAUUAUUAGGUGAUAGAAGAUAAAAUAAAUUUGUAUUAUAGAAUUAAAAGAAAUUAACUCUAAUCAUGUAUUCUUGUGUUUCGAGUGAAAGUUUUGGUCGAAAUGUUGUCAAUCUUCUAAGUAUUACAAUCCUGUGGGAAAAAAAUCAUACAAUAAUCUAAUGUGCCUCAUGACAGGAUCGAUGCUUGUAGGGGUGAAACUCCCAUAUCCGCCAAUUGUUUUAUGC